AGUGAACGCUGGCGGCAGGCCUAAUACAUGCAAGUCGAACGGCAGCACAGCAGAGCUUGCUCUGUGGGUGGCGAGUGGCGGACGGGUGAGGAAUACAUGGGAAUCUGCCCAGCCGUGGGGGAUAACGUAGGGAAACUUACGCUAAUACCGCAUGCGCCCUUCGGGGGAAAGCCGGGGAUCUUCGGACCUGGCGCGAUUGGAUGAGCCCAUGUCGGAUUAGCUAGUUGGCGGGGUAAUGGCCCCACCAAGGCGACGGAUCCGUAGCUGGUCUGAGAGGAUGGAUC
rnacentral:rRNA from 1 species